CAGCCGCCGCGGGAAUACGGAGGAUCCAAGCGUUAUCCGGAAUCAUUGGGUUUAAAGGGUCCGUAGGCGGUCUUGUAAGUCAGUGGUGAAAGCCCAUCGCUCAACGGUGGAACGGCCAUUGAUACUGCAGGACUUGAAUUAUUGGGAAGUAACUAGAAUAUGUAGUGUAGCGGUGAAAUGCUUAGAGAUUACAUGGAAUACCAAUUGCGAAGGCAGGUUACUACCAAUUGAUUGACGCUGAUGGACGAAAGCGUGGGUAGCGAACAGGAUUAGAUACCCGCGUAGUCCCUGUCUCUUAUAU
rnacentral:rRNA from 1 species